GAUGAACGCUAGCGGCAGGCCUAACACAUGCAAGUCGAGGGGUAGAGGAAGCUUGCUUCCUUGAGACCGGCGCACGGGUGCGUAACGCGUAUGCAAUCUACCUUUUACAGAGGGAUAGCCCAGAGAAAUUUGGAUUAAUACCUCAUAGUAUCUUUGCCUGGCAUCGGGUGAUUAUUAAAGUUCCAACGGUAAAAGAUGAGCAUGCGUCCUAUUAGCUAGAUGGUAAGGUAACGGCUUACCAUGGCAACGAUAGGUAGGGGUCCUGAGAGGGAGAUCCCCCACACUGGUACUGAGACACGGACCAGACUCCUACGGGAGGCAGCAGUGAGGAAUAUUAGACAAUGGGCGCAAGCCUGAUCCAGCCAUGCCGCGUGCAGGAAGACGGUCCUAUGGAUUGUAAACUGCAUUUGUACGGGAAGAAACACUCCUACGUGUAGGAGCUUGACGGUACCGUAAGAAUAAGGAUCGGCUAACUCCGUGCCAGCCGCCGCAGUAAGAC
rnacentral:rRNA from 1 species